UACGUAGGGUGCGAGCGUUAAUCGGAAUUACUGGGCGUAAAGCGUGCGCAGGCGGUGAUGUAAGACAGGUGUGAAAGCCCCGGGCUUAACCUGGGAAUGGCCAUGGAAACUGGCGAACUGGAGUGUGGCAGAGGGGGGUGGAAUUCCGCGUGUAGCAGUGAAAUGCGUAGAGAUGCGGAGGAACACCGAUGGCGAAGGCAGCCCCCUGGGCUAGCACUGACGCUCAGGCACGAAAGCGUGGGGAGCAAACAGG
rnacentral:rRNA from 1 species